UAUAUGGUUUCUGUCCAUUAUUCGGCAUUGCUGUAAAUGGCUCACAUUUACUGCAACUUCUGUACAGAUGUGUGGCUUUGUAUUACCAGAACAGCAAAUUUAAAUGAAAAAAUAAAUGUUCAACAAUUCCACACAAGCUUUUACAGUCCAACAGUUCACUGAGUAGGUGAAAACUACAGACUUGUUACUACAGAAUUAUUCAGCAUGAAUAAAAAACUACAACUUUUAUUUUUAAACAGGAGUCACUGGUUUAAUUUCCUUUAUGCUGUUUUAAAAUUACUGUGAUAAAAAUAAUGAUUCUUUUUUUAAUAAUGCCAUACACCGGUACGAUAUAGGAUUUGUCCCCAGUAUAUAUCUCUUGUUUAAUAUACAAAAUAGAAUAAUGACACAUCGCUGACUCUAUGCUGUUAUGCACGUUAGUUGGGAGGUGGGGUAUUUCCAUACACACAGCCUUUCAUCAGCACCCCGGAGCCUCCCGCUGCCUCGGAGGCCCCAAUCCUUUCCUGAAAAUUUGGUUCCUAUGUGGCAUCAAUGGCUCAGCAACACCCGGUUGCAGACUGGACUAAGGAUAGAGCGUAACUACUCUAAGUACAACCUCUGAACCCCUCACGCUAAGGUUAUGACCCUCCAGUCCUCACUCGCUGAAGUUUGACUACGGGAAACAGGAUUUAGCUGAUGUUCAUCCAGGCACUUUCCUCCUCCUGUUUUCUACCCCUGUCUGUGAAAUGGCGAGGUCAUUUCCCAGCUCCAUCCCCAGCCCCCGGCCCUGCUCCCGCUGCUCCUGCUAAGGCCAUUCCUGGAGCUCCCGCUUCUCCCGCUAAGGCCAUUCCUGGCGCUGCUCGUGCACGAGCUCCGCGCCCGGGCUGCCGGCGGCCGCCCCUCGGUCGAUGCACUUUGUGAUAAGGCACUGAAGAGACGAAGUCAGAAUUCUCCCUGCUUUAUCCAGAGUGCAGAUACUACCCACUGCUACAAGGACUACGGAUACACAGGACACGGACUUCUCACUGCUUACUAAAGCAUUACACACUUCUAACGGUGAAGUUUAAAACCUAACAGCACGUACAGGACGAUUGCUUUCUCCUAACAUCACAGUUUCCUUUUUAUUUUUUUCCUUAAAUCCCUAAACUAAAAAAGGAAUAUACAGGGAUACAGACUAAGAGGGGGUAGAGCCUCUCGUCUCCUACGUUACCGGUUCUCUCAAGGUGGGGAUCAUUUGUUCAUGUUCACUCCAGUUACUUUUCUGCUGGCAAAAAAAGAAGUUUUCUAUUUGUGUAUACGGAUGCACAGACAUUUGCACACCCACAUGCACACCCGUUGCACACCCGCUCACACCACCAGACUCUUCCACACAAGCUCAAAUCAAGGUUCCUGGGGAUGCAAUUUUAAAACCAAAGUAACCCCAGUUCUCCUUUAGCUGAAGAGCCCCCCGAAGCAGCACGGAACUCCUAUCUGUAUCUCAAACGGGUUGUGUGAAUAGUUGCCUGAAAUUGGGGUGAAAGUUGUAAUUGAAAUACUUGAACUUGCCCUUCCCUGUUACAAAAUGUACAUAUCCUUUACAGAUCAAAGAGAAGAGAGUUAUUACUUUUUUAUUAAAGAUGGUAUUUUACUCCAAAGUACUGAAUAUAGGAUCUUUUCUUAAUAGGUAUAACUUUCAAAAAGAGCUUUAAGAAAGGAUGAAAAUUUAGUUUCCCAUUUUGCUUGGAAACCACCUUCUGCUGAACAACAGAAACGUGCUAGUGUAUGGUGAACAACCUAUGCUCCGUAUUUACAUAUUGCUGGUACCUGUAUGCGUAUUAUUGCCCAAUUUGUCAAGCUGUUUCUGCUGUGGUAGGUGAGGCUGUAUGUGAAACUACCCCCGUCUGCUCAGAGGUGUAGGUGCGGGUGCUCACACGCAUCUUCCCCGUUACAUUGCCUGCAGCGGAGGUCGGAUUUAGCAAUGCCUGGCGAAUGGUAACCAACCAUACAGAUAGGAGUAUUCCAUCCAAGCUCCAACUGGGAUUUGUACACAGUGAUUUGAUAAAACAUAAAAAACUCAACCCUAAGCACACCCACUGAACACAGGUUUUACUUUCUAGACAGAGUACUUCUUUGGAUACUAAACCCCGACGCCUUCAGCACUACCUCCAGACAAACCCCAGCGGGGACGGGUUACCAUUCAGCAUAUUUGUGACCCCUACAAAAAAUAUAAUUACAUGUAUCAUGAUAAAGCAAUCUGUCAUCUAAAAAUCAUCCUUAUUAUACACUAUACAAGCUAUUUUACAAUCAUUUAAUAAAUUGCUUUUAAAGCUGCAGUAGCCCUUCCCUUCUUUUCUCGGAUCAGCGAAUAUACCGAUUAUACAUAUUUGAAACUAUAACUAAAUAUAAAAAUAUAUUAGGUUUUGUAUUUUAUCAGAUGAUCUUUCUCGUUUCUAUUACACAAAUAAUCUGGCCACUUUGUGUAAAAAUCAGAUUUUAGAGUGGCUUAGGAAAGAUUUCAAUUUUGAGAUACAGAAAAUUGUUAAGGUGCACGUAGAAAAGGCUACUACAGCUUCUAAACGGUUUAAAAUAUCGGUAUCAAUGGCAACAAGGAGAAAUUCACAAGACCCAGGGGAGUUUUAUGGCACGCUAGUCAUUGGGGUGAAGGGAUGCAACCUUACAAACACAGACGGUUUGACGUACGACUCUAAGACCACGAGAUCAGUAGCGGAGCUUUCCUGCUCUCCAGGGAAGAGAUGGGCCCAGCAGCGGCCGUGGAGAUGUGGGAAUGGGGCUCGAAGCUCUGCUGCUCCGGCUGCUCUUCCCUCCUCCUGCCCCACGGAGAGAGCUCUAGAACCGACAAGAGAACAGAACAAAACCAAACCACUGGGCAUAAUUACACGUCUGCCUCUACGUCAGUUGCGUUUCUCCGGAUAUACUUGUGUGAUGACAGAUCUCAGUGUAUAGAAAAUGUGAGUUUCUCCACACAGAAGUAAACUUUUCUUUAAGCUAUGCAUAUUUUCCUGAAAAUUUCCUGAUGGGCAGUCAGGACUGAGCUUCUUGGCAUCAAUGCAGCCCAUGACUCUCAGUUAUGGCUGUUGCAUCAUAUGCAAAAAUCAGGCUUUUUUUUUUUUUUUCAAUAUAUAAAAUAACCUGCUCAUUUACAUCCAGUUUAGGACUGGGUUAAUUUUCUAUGAAUCUGCAUAUCCAACACUUUUGCACCUAUGCCAAAAGUAGUUGUUUUUUUCACAUCUACUGAAUUAGAUUUGAGAGUUCUCCCACCCACCCUGGCCCUUAAAAAAUGCCAAAUCUUGAUGGUCACUUGGACAGUUGAAAGCUCUUAGGUUAGAAAAGGCCAACCCAUUUUCAUCAUGUGAAUAUACUCGAGGAUUAAUGUCUAGAGGUCAUUUAGGAAAGCUACGAGCUGCCCCACCUUAUAAAACCAGCUGUACAAUAGGCAUCUUGAAGUAUUACAAAAAAAUCAGGUAAGAAAAAAUGAACAAGCCAAGUUCACGGUAUAGAAAGUUAAAGGAAAUGGCUAAAACCAGACAGUAAUAGCUAUAAAAGGCACAACUUCCCUUUUCUGAUAUACACUUGUAAACGUUCCUCAGGUUACA
rnacentral:lncRNA from 1 species